AGAGUUUGAUCCUGGCUCAGAGCGAACGCUGGCGGCAGGCUUAACACAUGCAAGUCGAGCGGGCGUAGCAAUACGUCAGCGGCAGACGGGUGAGUAACGCGUGGGAACAUACCUUUUGGUUCGGAACAACACAGGGAAACUUGUGCUAAUACCGGAUAAGCCCUUACGGGGAAAGAUUUAUCGCCGAAAGAUUGGCCCGCGUCUGAUUAGCUAGUUGGUGAGGUAAUGGCUCACCAAGGCGCGAUCAGUAGCUGGUCUGAGAGGAUGAUCAGCCACAUUGGGACUGAGACACGGCCCAAACUCCUACGGGAGGCAGCAGUGGGGAAUAUUGGACAAUGGGCGCAAGCCUGAUCCAGCCAUGCCGCGUGAGUGAUGAAGGCCCUAGGGUUGUAAAGCUCUUUUGUGCGGGAAGAUAAUGACGGUACCGCAAGAAUAAGCCCCGGCUAACUUCGUGCCAGCAGCCGCGGUAAUACGAAGGGGGCUAGCGUUGCUCGGAAUCACUGGGCGUAAAGGGUGCGUAGGCGGGUCUUUAAGUCAGGGGUGAAAUCCUGGAGCUCAACUCCAGAACUGCCUUUGAUACUGAAGAUCUUGAGUUCGGGAGAGGUGAGUGGAACUGCGAGUGUAGAGGUGAAAUUCGUAGAUAUUCGCAAGAACACCAGUGGCGAAGGCGGCUCACUGGCCCGAUACUGACGCUGAGGCACGAAAGCGUGGNNAGCAAACAGGAUUAGAUACCCUAGUAGUCC
rnacentral:rRNA from 1 species